UCCCUGGUGGUCCAGUGGCUAACACUCCACACUCCUAAUGCUGGAGGCCCUGGUUCGAUUCCUGGUCAGGGAA